rnacentral:rRNA from 1 species
GAUCCGUGGCUCAAGAACGAACGCUGGCGGCAGGCUUAACACAUGCAAGUUGAACGGGAAUAUUAUGUAGCUUGCUAUAUGAUAUGAGAGUGGCGCACGGGUGAGUAAUACAUAGGAACAUACCUACUAGUUCGGAACAACGCCUGGAAACGGGUGCUAAUACCGGAUAAUGCCUGAGGGUUAAAGAUUUAUCGCUAGUAGAAUGGCCUAUGGCAGAUUAGGCAGUUGGUGGGGUAACGGCCUACCAAACCGACGAUCUGUAGCUGGUCUGAGAGGACGAUCAGCCACAUUGGGACUGAGACACGGCCCAGACUCCUACGGGAGGCAGCAGUGAGGAAUAUUGGGCAAUGGGGGCAACCCUGACCCAGCCAUGCCGCGUGAGUGAAGAAGGUUUUCGGAUUGUAAAGCUCUUUCGGAUGUGACGAUGAUGACGGUAGCAUCUAAAGAAGCCCCGGCAAACUUCGUG